GAUGAACGCUGGCGGCGUGCCUAAUACAUGCAAGUCGAGCGAACGGACGAGAAGCUUGCUUCUCUGAUGUUAGCGGCGGACGGGUGAGUAACACGUGGAUAACCUACCUAUAAGACUGGGAUAACUUCGGGAAACCGUAGCUAAUACCGGCUAAUAUUUUGAACCGCAUGGUUCAAAAGUGAAAGACGGUCUUGCUGUCACUUAUAGAUGGUUCCGCGCUGCAUUAUCUAGUUGGUAAGGUAACGGCUUACCAAGGCAACGAUGCAUAGCCGACCUGAGAGGGUGAUCGGCCACACUGGAACUGAGACACGGUCCAGACUCCUACGGGAGGCAGCAGUAGGGAAUCUUCCGCAAUGGGCGAAAGCCUGACGGAGCAACGCCGCGUGAGUGAUGAAGGUCUUCGGAUCGUAAAACUCUGUUAUUAGGGAGGAACAUAUGUGUAAGUAACUGUGCACAUCUUGACGGUACCUAAUCAGAAAGCCACGGCUAACUACGU
rnacentral:rRNA from 1 species